AUGGCUUCCAACGCGAGCAUGUUGGCCAUGAUCAUGGCGUGCGCGCUCCUCCUCGCCGGCAGCACGUGCCAUGCCGCCCGCAACCUGGCCGACACGACGCUGGCAGCUGCCGCUCCGGCUGCUAGCGCCGUCCCUGGACUGCCGGCCGUGCCGACCUUACCCGCCGUGCCCGCGGACACGGUCACCCUGAUGCCACCCAUGCCGUCGGUCACCCUCCCCACCGUGCCGCAGGUGACCCUGCCGCCCAUGCCAGCCAUCGUCGCUGUGCCAACCAUGCCGACGCUGCCACCGAUGCCGGCUGUGCCGACGGUGCCGGCCUUGACUGUGCCACCUAUGCCGACUGUGCCCACCAUGCCGCAGGUGACACUGCCGCCCAUGCCCGCUGUUCCUGCAGUGCCCAAGGUGACGGUGCCCCCAAUGCCGGCCAUCGUCAUGCCUAAGAUGACGCUGCCGCCGAUGCCUUCUAUCCCGACCGUCAACGUGCCUAUGCCGUUCUUGGCGCCGCCUCCAUCAACUUAG
rnacentral:rRNA from 1 species